rnacentral:rRNA from 1 species
GACGAACGCUGGCGGCGUGCUUAACACAUGCAAGUCGAACGGAAAGGCCCUUCGGGGUACUCGAGUGGCGAACGGGUGAGUAACACGUGGGUGAUCUGCCCUGCACUUUGGGAUAAGCCUGGGAAACUGGGUCUAAUACCGAAUAGGACCACGCGCUUCAUGGUGUGUGGUGGAAAGCUUUUGCGGUGUGGGAUGGGCCCGCGGCCUAUCAGCUUGUUGGUGGGGUAAUGGCCUACCAAGGCGACGACGGGUAGCCGGCCUGAGAGGGUGACCGGCCACACUGGGACUGAGAUACGGCCCAGACUCCUACGGGAGGCAGCAGUGGGGAAUAUUGCACAAUGGGCGCAAGCCUGAUGCAGCGACGCCGCGUGAGGGAUGACGGCCUUCGGGUUGUAAACCUCUUUCGCCAGGGACGAAGCGCAAGUGACGGUACCUGGAGAAGAAGGACCGGCCAACUACGUGCCAGCCGCCGCCGUAA